rnacentral:lncRNA from 1 species
UCCUAUCCUUCGUGUACAACCUUCCAUGAGCAACCAACAUCAUAAUGAACAACCAUUUCGGGGCAGAAGGGGUAUUGCAAACUAAUUUCUUCCAUCUUACUUUUGGAAACACUCCUUGCACCAAUUGGUACAUCUUUUUUACAGAGAAAUAUUGCAAUCUUUGGAAUUGAUCUUCUGUGUAACCAGCAGCUUCCAUGUACUCCAUAGCUUUGAAAAUUUUCUUGAUAAGCC